AUGAUGAUCUCCCGUAGCAGCCACCAGCAGCAGCAGCUCCUGCUGUGCCUGCUCCUUCACUUGUGCCUCGGGAUCCAGCUCUCCUACUCCAUCGCCACCACCAGCAACCAAACUACGUGCCGGCCGGACCAGUCCUCGGCACUGCUCCGACUGCGGCGUUCCUUCUCCGCCACCACCGACUCCACAUGCACCCUCGCGUCGUGGCGGGCUGGCACGGACUGCUGCCACUGGGAGGGCGUCACCUGUGCUGCCGCCGAUGGCCGCGUCACCACCCUCGACCUCGCCGAAUGCGGGCUGCAGAGCGCUGGCCUCCACCCGGCGCUUUUUGAGCUCACCUCCCUGAGCUACCUGGACCUCUCCUCCAACAGCUUCGACGAGUCCGAGCUCCCGGCCGUCGGGUUCGAGAGGCUCACCGAGCUCACCUACCUCAACCUGUCCUACACCGACUUGGUAGGCAAGAUACCACACGGGAUACGGCGGCUCAGGAAGCUGGUAUCCCUAGAUUUCACCAAUUGGAUUUAUCUUGUUGAAGGCGACAACGACUAUUUCCUGCCACUCGGCGAAGGAAGGUGGCCCAUCGUAGAGCCAGAUAUUGGAUCAUUCGUUGCUAACCUUAGCAACCUCAAGGAGCUUUAUCUAGGCAACGUCGACUUGUCCGGCAACGGGGCAACAUGGUGCAGUGCCUUUGCUAAUUCCACUCCACAGCUUCAGGUUCUCAAUCUACCAAAUACCCACAUCGAUGCUCCGAUUUGUGAAUCCUUGUCCACCAUUCGCUCACUGACCAAGAUCAACCUAAACUAUAACAAAGUGUAUGGCCAAAUUCCAGAGUCCUUUGCUGACUUACCUUCCCUCAGUGUUCUUAAGCUUGCCUAUAAUCGCCUCCAAGGACGGUUCCCGAUGAGGAUCUUCCAGAACACAAACUUAACGGCUGUUGAUGUUAGUUAUAAUUCCAAGGUAUCUGGUCUGCUUCCCAAUUUCUCAUCACAUAAUAUUAUGAUGAAGGAACUGCUUUUUAGCAACACUAACUUCUCUGGUCCCAUUCCGAGGUCAAUAAGUAAUCUCACAUCCUUGAAGAAAUUAGGUAUUGCAGCAACUGACUUUCACCAAGAGCAGCUUCCCACUUCAAUUGGUGAGCUCAGAUCAUUAACAUCACUACAGGUUUCUGGAGCUGGUAUAGUAGGAGAAAUACCAUCUUGGGUUGCGAAUUUGACUUAUUUGGAAACUUUACAGUUCUCCAACUGUGGGUUAUCUGGUCAAGUACCUUCCUUCAUAGGUAACCUCGAGAACCUAAUUACGUUGAAAUUGUAUGCAUGCAAUUUUUCUGGUCAAGUUCCUCCACAUCUAUGUAAUCUUACUCAAUUAGGCACCAUAAAUUUACAUUCCAACAGUUUCCGUGGUACCAUCCAACUCAGCUCGUUCUUCAAAAUGCCCAACCUAUUCAGCUUGAAUCUUUCAAACAACAAGCUUUCCGUAGUAGAUGGAGAAUACAAUUCUUCAUGGGCAUCCAUCCAAAACUUUGAUACUCUAUGUCUAGCAUCUUGUAACAUAUCCAAGCUCCCUAAUACCUUGAAGCACAUGCAUCGCGUUGAAGUUCUUGACCUUUCAAACAAUCACAUCCAUGGCCCUCUACCUCAGUGGGCAUGGGAUAAUUGGAUCAAGUCUCUCAUCUUGAUGAACAUAUCAUACAACCAAUUUAGUAGUGGUAUUGGAUAUGGCCCUGUCAUUUCUGCUAAUAUGUUUGUUAUCGAUAUCAGUUAUAACCUAUUUGAAGGGCCUAUACCUAUACCAGGACCGCAGAACCAACUAUUUGAUUGCUCAAACAACCAUUUCUCAUCCAUGCCAUUCAAUUUUGGUUCUCACUUAAGUAGUAUUUCCCUACUCAUGGCUCCUGGAAACAAGUUGUCUGGAGAAAUUCCACAAUCAAUCUGUGAAGCAACAAGCCUUAUGCUCCUUGAUCUCUCCAAUAAUGAUUUGAUUGGCUCCAUCCCUUCUUGUUUAAUGGAUGAUAUGAGUCGCCUCAAUGUAUUAAAUUUGAAAGGAAAUCAACUUCAUGGAAGAUUACCAAAUAGCCUAAAGCAAGAUUGUGCAUUUGAGGCAUUAGACUUUAGUGAUAAUCAGAUUGAAGGACAAUUACCUAGAUCUCUAGCUGCUUGCAAAGACUUGGAGGUUUUUGAUGUCGGGAAGAAUCUUAUUAAUGAUACAUUUCCAUGUUGGAUGAGUAUGCUUCCUAAACUUCAAGUCCUUGUUCUAAAGUCCAACUGGUUCAUCGGAGAUGUGGGGCCAUCUAUUUCAGAAGAUCAAAAUAGUUGUGAGUUUGGAAAACUUCGAAUUAUUGACUUGGCUUCAAACAAUUUCUCUGGAUUAUUGCGAAAUGAAUGGUUUAUGUCAAUGGGAUCCAUGAUGACUAAAGAUGUCAAUGAGACAUUGGUCAUGGAAACUCAAUAUGAUCUACUUGACCAAACAUACCAGUUCACCACUGCCAUCACAUACAAAGGAUCUGAUAUUAGUUUUUCUAAAAUAUUGAGGACCAUUGUCAUCAUUGAUGUUUCUAAUAAUGCAUUCUAUGGCCCUAUUCCUGAGUCAAUUGGGGACCUUGUUCUACUCGGUGGGCUAAAUAUGUCACAUAAUGCCCUCAUUGGACCGAUACCAUCUCAGCUUGGCAUGCUACAUCAACUUGAGUCACUAGACCUGUCUUCAAAUGAACUUUCCGGAGAGAUCCCAUUGGAGUUGGCAUCAUUGGACUUUCUUUCAGUUUUGAAUCUAUCCUACAACCAGCUGCGGGGAAGAAUACCUGAGUCUUCCCACUUCUUGACAUUCUCUGAUCUCUCAUUUUUAGGAAACAUUGGCCUAUGUGGGUUCCAAGUGUCCAAAGCAUGUAACAACAUGACACCAGAUACGGUUCUACAUCAUCCCAAGAAGGUAUCAAUAGACAUUGUACUAUUUCUUUUUGCUGGAUUGGGAUUUGGUGUCGGAUUCGCAGUUGCAAUUAUCUUGACAUGGGUGAGGGUGUCCCGGAUUACCGAGGUCCUCACACAGCCGACCUGUCUCUCAUGGUCCGUUUUAAUGGGCCGCUCUAAUUCAUCAAAGAAAGGCCGGACUACAAGCGACCUCGUGCUCCAGCAUGAAACCUCCGAAGACUUGGCGUCUCCUCCAAGAAAUUUUAGCGUAGCCAGCAUGUUUACCCCCUGA
rnacentral:rRNA from 1 species